CGUAGGUGGCAAGCGUUGUCCGGAUUUAUUGGGUUUAAAGGGUGCGUAGGUGGCCCUGUAAGUCAGUGGUGAAAUAUCUCAGCUUAACUGAGAGGGUGCCAUUGACACUGCAGGGCUUGAGUACAGAUGAGGUAGGCGGAAUUGACGGUGUAGCGGUGAAAUGCAUAGAUAUCGUCAAGAACACCGAUAGCGAAGGCAGCUUACCAAGCUGUAACUGACACUGAGGCACGAAAGUGUGGGGAUCAAACAGGAUUAGAUACCCUGGUAGUCCACACUGUAAACGUUGAUGACUCGAUGUUGGCGAUACACAGCCAGCGUCCAAGAGCAAUCGUUAAGUCAUCCACCUGGGGAGUACGCCGGCAACGGUG
rnacentral:rRNA from 1 species